GGCGGCUGGCUGAUUACGAUAACAGAAGCGUGGCACCGCGAGCACCUUUGCCAAGGUGCCGCUCGAAUGUCGUGGUGUAAUGAUGCUUCUGGGCACGUAACAUUCCAACGUAAUAAUGAGAUUAGUGUUGAACUGAUCGUUUCACUCGGCUCUAGAUCGCUCACGCGAGCAACGUUGUCUUCGUCUGGUCGAAAAAGAGCGCGCUUCGUGCGUUCGUCUGGCUAUACUCCCGCGUCUAGCACUUCAGGCGCUCUGAGCCCUGUUAUCGGAGCAGUCGUCGUGAUUGAGAGCGUUUCCCGACCCGUCACCACCACACAGCGUUGCCGCUGUUUGCGAUCGUUCACCAUUCACCCAUAGAUGGUUCACCGCAUGUCACCGCAUGCUGGCUUCUCAACGAGCACUCUUCCCAUCGGCGCGUCCUCAGUUCUUGCCGGCAGCGCCUCGAGCUUCGGUCAAGCGAAAUUCGUCGUUUGCUUUAGUCACGUGGUUGCGCCUCUGCCCUUUCCUUCUCCAAGAGCGAGUAACACAUUUGGCUUGCGCGUUUGUCCUUUGCCCUAUGCCUUGCCUUCGCGUUCGAGGAACGCCGGAUUUGCCCGACUCUGAUUCGGAGGAUGGAGGCGACCAGUAUGCCAUAGCAUGGGUGCGUAUACUGCUCCCCAGGACACGAGACCGACGCCAAUCGACGCACUGAGACGUCUCCGCUCGAGCAACCAACCAAAUCCGGAAUAUCGAUGCAGUUCCAGUGGGAGAACGCCUUGUGCUGACCUCAUCAAUGCGGAAAACCCAACAAAUAAUGUUUGACGUCACCACGAGCUUGACAGCUUGACACGAGCGACACGACGAUGAUGCGUUAAGUAUAAGCAUUGGAUUCAGCUGUUCCAUAGUGAGACACUGCAACCAACUUUCUGAACUGCG